UACGGAGGGUGCAAGCAUUGAUCGGAAUUACUGGGCGUAAAGGGCGCGUAGGCGGCAAAGAAAGUCAGAUGUGAAAUACCGGGGCUCAACCCCGGUGCUGCAUUUGAAACUUCUUAGCUAGAGUUCAGUUAGGGAAAACAGAAUUCCACGUGUAGCGGUGAAAUGCGUAGAUAUGUGGAAGAAUACCGGUGGUGAAGACGGUUUUCUGGGCUGAAACUGACGCUGAGGCGCGAAAGCAAGGGGAGCAAACAGG
rnacentral:rRNA from 1 species